GACCUCAUAGUAAAACAGGAUAUUACGGUCCCCUCCUAAGGGAUUGUUCUGGGUUCGAGUCCCGGUGGGGUCACCA
rnacentral:tRNA from 1 species